ACGCCGGACCUAGGCAUUUUCAGAGGAGCGACGUCACUGGAAAGCUUGCCUCGCUAGGACUUUGCACCCCUCGCUUGGGCCCGUAGGCUGGACCUCGCAGGCGGCCGCAGGAAAGUCUCGCAGGGAGCGGGGUCUGUCUGACUCAGAUGUAGAAGUUGCAAGAACCUUGUUUCCUUGUUUGUGGACAAAAAUAACUCAUACGCAAGGAGGGCUGAAUGGCCUGGUGAGAUUCAUCCAGGGGUUCUUCAUGCAAUUCAGGUCCUAUGGAGAUCCAUUGGCCCCAUUUCAGAUUCUCAGUCUUGACAGCUGUUGGCCUCAUUUGCUGCUGGAUUAGAGAAUAGAGAGAAAAUGGAGGGACAAUGCCCAGCAGGUGCAGAAGCUGGAAAAAGCCCUCCUGCUCCUCAGCCUGGGAGCUGUGGGGAAAUCUGGACAAAAACUGGGCAGAAGAUCCUAGUGGAAGAAUCUAUCAGUUCAGAGGUCCAGCGCAGGCACUUCAGGAAUGCCCGCUAUCAGGAGGCCAAGGGGCCCCGAGAGAUUUGCAGCCACCUCCACCACCUUUGCCAUCAGUGGCUGAAGCCAGAAAGAUAUACAAAGGCACAGAUGCUGGAUUUGGUGGUUCUGGAGCAGUUCUUAGCUGUCCUGCCACUGGAGAUGGAGAGCUGGGUGCGGGAGUGUGGAGCAGAGACCAGUUCCCAGGCAGUGGCCCUCGUGGAAGGCUUUCUCCUGAGCCAGGCGGAGGAGGAGAAGGAGCAGGAAGAGCUCCAGGUCCAGAGGUCGCUCUUGGAGGCCAUUACCAAACAUCUGGAUGGAAGGAGCAAUCCCUCAAAUCUCUCCCAGGAGCUGCUUUUUUGGAGGAUCUCCCAGGAAAGUCAAAGUUUGGACAGCUUACCAGAGAAUAGCACGAUGUCCUUGGUAUUCAUAGGAUUGUCUCCCUUUUGUGGUGAACCCAAAAGAGCAACUGAGCCUCCUGUUCAGGGUCUUGUGACCUUUGAGGAUGUGGCUGUAUAUUUCUCAGAGGAGGAAUGGUCUCAGCUGGAUCCUGACCAAAAAGCCCUCCAUGGAGAAGUCAUGCUGGAGAACUCCAGGAAUGUGGCUUCUCUGGGAAGUAAUGGGCAACAGAAUGAGAACUACAGGGUACCAUUUCAAACGCCCGUCGAGCAUAAAGAAGGAAAAGAGACAUUUGCCAGUGAAGCGAAAACAAAGAAUCAUGAGAGAAACCUGUCAAAUAAUGAGAAUUCAAAAAUCUCAGCUUCCUACUAUGCUGGCAUUCAAGACUUUCUAGCCCAAAAAGAACAUAAAGGAAAAAAGAGGAAAAGGAGUUUAGGGAAAAGUGUGAAAAUAUUGAACUUAAAUUUCAAUAAACAUUAUGGAAGCCAUGCCAAACAGGAUAAAUGCAUGGAAGAUGAAGAAGGUUACCAUCAAAGUUUCAUUCUUUCUUUACACAACAGAGUCAAGAUGGGAGAGAAACCAUAUAUAUGCCUGGUGUGUGGAAAGAGCUUCAGUCAGAGUAGCGCUUUAAUUUCCCAUAAAAGAAUCCACAGAGGGGAGAAACUUCAUAAGUGCAUGGAGUGUGGGAAGAAGUUCAGGUGGAAAAGUGACCUUAUUUCUCAUAAAAGGGUCCACACAGGGGAGAAACCCUAUAAAUGCAUGGAGUGUGGGAAGAAGUUCAGGUGGAAAAGUGACCUUAUUUCUCAUAAAAGGGUCCACACAGGGGAGAAACCCUAUAAAUGCAUGGAGUGUGGGAAGAAGUUCAGGUGGAAAAGUGACCUUAUUUCUCAUAAAAGGGUCCACACAGGGGAGAAACCCUAUAAAUGCAUGGAGUGUGGGAAGAGUUUUAGUCAAAGCAGUAACCUGAUUUCCCAUAAAAGGAGCCAUUCUGGAGAAAAACCUUACAAAUGCACGGAAUGUGGAAAGUGCUUCAGGUGGAGUAGUCAGUUUACUUCCCAUAAAAGAAUCCAUACUGGAGAGAAACCAUAUAAAUGUGUGGAAUGUGGAAAAAGCUUUACCAAUAGCAGUUCCCUCAGUUCUCAUAGAAGUAUCCACACAGGGGAGAAACCCUAUCAAUGCUUGGAGUGCGGGAAGAACUUCAGCAUGAGCAGUCACCUCACCUCCCAUAAAAGGAUUCACACAGGGGAGAAGCCAUACAAGUGCUUGGAGUGUGGAAAGAGCUUCCGGGAAAAUGGGUCCCUAAGUAGUCAUAAAAUGAUCCAUACAGGAGAGAAGCCAUAUAAAUGUAGGGAAUGUGGGAAAAAAUUCCGAAAAAUAAGUUCCCUUACCUCUCAUACAAGGAUUCACACAGGGGAGAAACCAUAUAAAUGCAUGGAAUGUGGGAAAAUAUUCCAAAAAAGUACUUCCCUCACAUCCCAUAAAAGAAUCCACACAGGGGAGAAACCAUAUGAAUGCAUGGAGUGUGGAAAGAGCUUUCGUGAAAAUGGGUCCCUUACUUCCCAUAAAAGGAUCCACUCUGGUGAGAAACCGUAUAAAUGUAUGGAGUGUGGAAAGAGCUUCAUUCGGAGCAGUUCUCUUACGUCUCAUAAAAGGAUCCACACCGGGGAGAAACCGUACACAUGUACAGAAUGUGGAAAGAGCUUUCGUGAAAAUGGGACACUUACUUCUCACAAAAGGAUCCACCGAGGGGAGAAACCAUACAAAUGCACGGAGUGUGGAAAGAGCUUCAGGUGGAGCAGUCAGCUUACUUCCCAUAAGAGGAUCCAUUCUGGUCUUGUACCAUAUAGAUGCUUGGAAUGUGGAAAAAGCUUUAGCCAGGGGAGUCAUCUGACUUCCCAUAAAACCAUCCAUACGGGGGAGAAGCCAUAUAAAUGUUUGGAAUGUGGGAAAAUAUUCCGAAUCAGCAGUUCCCUAACUUCUCAUAAAAGGAUCCACACAGGGGAGAAACCGUAUACAUGUUUGGUAUGUGGAAAGAGCUUCCGUGAAAAUGGGUCUCUUACUAUUCAUAAAAGGAUCCACACAGGGGAGAAACCAUAUCAAUGCAAAGAGUGUGGGAAGAGCUUCAGAAGGAGCAGUAACCUUACUACUCAUGCAAAGACCCACUCAGAUGGCCCAACUCUGGAAAAACAAAUCAAAAUGAUAAAGAAAACAGUAACAAUAAUUCAGUGAUCACAGAUCAGUUCCAAGCUCUCCAUUCUCCUGGAUGUACUAGAUGCUGUCUUUGGGAAGGGAUGCAUCCAGACGGGCGUUUAACAGUACGGGGUCUACAGGAAAAUGAAAAUGAUAGGAUUCCAGCAUGCUGAUACCACCAACCGUAAUGCAAAAAUUGAAAGAGACAUUUGGAAAUCAGUAGGGACCAGAAUAAAAUAAAAUCCAUUUAGGAAAGCCACUCCAAAAAAUGGGGGAGACGGCCUCCAUUUCUGAAUGUGCUGUAGUCCAGUGGUUCCUCCUGAGAAAACAGGAUCACAAAGGAAUGAGAAGGAGAACAGGCUCUCAUAUGGGAAGAGAGUUGAAUCAGACUGGCGUCAGCCGUGUGACAUCAAGACACCAAUUUUUCUUUUAAGGAAAGAGAGAAAAAGAAAAAAGAAGGCAUUCUUUUAACAAAACAAGAAACCUUGAUCACACAGCAUAAUAUUGCUCAGUCUUCAGUUCCAUCAAUAAAGAACCAAUUCACGAGCAGAGAGAGAAUAUACGUCAUUACCCCAGGACUGUAAAUAUGGUGCAUUUCUGCCUUUCUACUAUAAAAGUGGAUUUUUUUUGCUAUUCUACAGUUCUUCAUGUAUUGAUAAAUUCUACAUUUGAGGUAAUGAUUCAAAAUCCCAUUCACAGCUGUACGUCACAUCACUCCUGUAAGUAAUUUCUAUUAAGAUAAUAAGAAACAUUGUUAAUGCUUUUGAAGACCCUUGAGCACCGAUUGGUUAAUAAACACCUACUGUUUAUUCUAAAGCAGUGUUUUUCAAACUUGGCAACUUUAAGAUGUGUUGACUUCAACUCCCAGAAUUCCCCAGCCAAGUUUGAAAAAUACUAUGCUAGAGGUUUUGCAGAUAGCUGGUAUCCAGCUUAUCACUACACUUUCAUUAUCUAUUAAAAAAUAAUAUAUAAUUCGAAACACAUUCCAGCGUUAUUGUAAUGUACAGGUUUUAGUGCUGCUUAUGUAUUUCGAGCACUUUGUGAGAUCACAAGAUGUUUUAAUUCAGUGUUUCUCAAUCUUAGCAACUUUAAGAUGCGUGGACUUCAACUCAAGCUGGCUGGGGAAUUCUGGGAGUUGAAGUCCACAUGUCUUAAAGUUGUUGAGGUUGAGAAAGACUGUUUUAACUGAACAUUCUUCUAUUCCAUAAUUUUAGAAAAGCCAAAUUCUUAUUGCUGCAACUCAAAUGAUUUAAAAAUUGGCAACCACCUGAUCUAAAGUAUUAAUGUCUCUGUUAGCCCAUUAAUUCAAAAAGAAAAAAAAGAUGUUCUACUUUUUUUCAAAGUGGAAUUUUUCCCAAAGUGUACAUUUAUAAUGUGAAUAAA